ACUGACUCUACCAUGUUGGAGAAGCCCGCUGGGCUUGGACCUGUGGGGCAGCUCUAAAAAUUGAGACUGGCUUGCUUAUCAGUGGCAGCCUCUCUGCAACAUCUAGCAAAAAGCCACGGCUCUCAGUCAAGAAAUGAAGGGGCCAACUUCCUAUGUAAGCCUGAGCGAGGAUUCGUCCAGCCUCCGGAUGAGAAUGCUGUCCAGUUGACACCAGCAGAGGAACCAGGAAAAACUGACACUUAAUUCACCAUGGUUCUCAUCAAUCAGUCUAAUCCCCAAGGAAGAAUUUCAGUCCCAGCUUUCUCAAGAGCUAUUUCAAGCAAAUGACAGUUGUUAACCUGAAACAAAUGGACCACCAGAUAGUUCUCCAGGAAAGAUGGGGGAUCAGCAGAGAAUUGCGAUGCAGGAUCUACAAUCACAACAAGAUAUAUACAAGUCCUCCACACAGCAAGGUAAGGGGAACAUUUUAUAGAAGGGAAAAGAAAGUUGGGAGGACUAUAGUAAACAGAGUCCAGGGAUUUCCAUUGGCUGAGUCCUUGCCAGGAAAGAAAAGAUUCUUUUUCCUGUUGGGCUCUGCCCUUGGUUGCUGGGCAAGAGACUCGCCCUUCUUGCCGCUCUAAUCUAUUUAAUUGAGGUUUCCGUUGAAUAUUUUUUUACACUGUCAUGAAUCUAGCUUGCUUAAAAUGGAAGUUUGAAAGACACAGCUGUUGCGUCAAGUUCCCUUUUUAUUGUGUUUCAUCGCUAUGCCCUGGUGUAUGCAGAUGCCAUGUUUCAUGGAAGGUGUUGAUGUAACAUCUAGUGGGAUUUAAGGCCAUUUUCUUAAUCUUAAAAUGAUCAUUUGAGUAGCUUCCAAAAUAACAUCACUGUCUCUAAUUUUUCUGAACUUUCCGAAAAAGUGAUCUGUGGUACUGUGAUUUAUAAUUUAAAAAUGUUUGUUUGAUCUUCAUCACCUUUCUGUCAUAGAGCUCCUAAAACCCUUGGAAUUCCCUAAGUGAUGAGAGCCAUAAUGUUGUCUUGUGUUAUGUUAAUGAGGUGACUUUCCAGACCACACUUAAGGAUGGACACUGGUUGCCAGGAGAAGUAACUACUAACCAUGUGAUUAGAGGGUUGGAAUUUUUAUUCCCACCCCUCUGACCUCUGGGAGGGGAGAAAGUCUGGAGAUUGAGUUAAAUUACCAAGAACAAUGAUUUAUCAAUUAUUCCUAUCAUGAAGCCUUCCUAAAACCCCAAAAGGACUGGGUUACAUUAACUUCUGGGUUGGUGAAAACUUGGAGGUGCUGGGAGAGCUGUGUCCCUGGAAAGGGCAUGGAAGCCCUGCCCCUUGUCCCAUGACUUCCCCUUUGCAUCUUUCCAUCUGACUGUUCCUGAGUUAUAUCUUUUUAUAGUAAACCACUAAAAUGUUCCUUUGAGUUCUGUAAGCCACUCUUAACACCCAAGGAGGAAAUCAGUGGACCCUCCAGUCUACAGUCAGUUGAUCGGAAGCGUAGGUGACAACCUGAGCUAGCAACUGGCAUCUAAAGUUGGGGGUGGGGAUCAGUCUUACAGGGCCAUGUUGAAAUUGGAUACAGAACAUUUCAGAUCGUUUACCUGAAAUCUGUGGCUGUUCUGCCCCAGAAAACUAGCAGCUGAUAAAUUUCCCUUUUUUUUUUUUUU